rnacentral:tRNA from 1 species
GGCCGGUUAGCCCAGUGGGUUGAGCGCGGUGCUGACAACACCAAGGUAGCGGGUUCGAUUCCCGCUCGGUCCU